rnacentral:lncRNA from 1 species
UUGCAGACAUCUUCACAAAACCUUUAUCCAAAAACAGGUUUUACUCUCUAAGAAAUGAGUUGGGAAUAAUUGAUUUACAAGCUUUAUCUUAAGUCUAUGUUGUAUCUUUUAUUCCUUUUUUUCUAUCUAUUUGUGGAGACAAAUAGAGGGAGAAGUGUUUGGGAUGUAGUGUUCUAAUAUCUGCAUCUAAUUCUGUUUUUGAACAUUGUUAUAACUGGUUUUUGAUUUAAAAUGAAACUCUGAUACAAAUUUUAACCGGUUAUUCUUGCAAAAUAACUUAUUAUUUUUCUAUGCUGCACCUAUGCAUGUUUGACUAGUUUCUCACAUUGAUUUGGUUGAUGUUCCUCUUUGGAAAUCACCUAGUGGAAACUAGUUUAUGGUGCCUGAUUAACUGGAAUAGAUUAUCCUGAAUUUCUAUGUUUGCUUGUGAAUGCAGGUUAUACAAGAUUCUAAACAAGAACAUUCCAAAAAGCAUCCCAAGGAUUUGUCUCCAUCAAAUAGGGGGAGAUUGUAAAACAUGAGAGCUUUGAUGUUUCAAAUUUAUGAUGAAGGUUGAAGUUGUGCUGCUUUUGGUUUGAGCUUAGUCUAGGUUAUUUAGAAUUCUUGUAAAGAUCAU